UAAUCAGAGAGCUGCAAGUUAGAACAGUGUGAUACUAUCCUUUCAGGAAGUGACUAAUACUAACUCAUCAGCCAGGCCCCUGCUCAGAUGUCCCUUCCUCCAGGAAGCCCUUCCGGACUCCGGGGCUGAGUCAGGCGCUCCCCCUGACCCCCAUCCCACGGCUCUCCCGGGAUCUCCCAUCCCAGACCUGCCCAUUCUGGGUCAUCACUGGGAACGUGUCUGUGUCCCUUACUGAACCGUAAGCUCCGGGAGGACAACACGGGGCUGUCGUUGGUCACUGCUGUGUCACCAGCACGGACUCGCACAGGACCGGGAAGAGAGGAAGCGCGUGGGGGGAAUACGUGUGGAAUAAAUGAAUGAAUGAGGAAACUGAAGCCAAGUCAAUGUCUGAGUUGGAUUCAAACUUAAGUCUCUCCUUACUGAGAGGAGGGACCAAGUUGGAUCUCCUGCGAUCUGUUCUCCACUGAGCCCUGCCAGGAUUCUGGGCACACAGAAGCGCUCAGUAAGGGCUUUGAAACUUAACAGUUUGGGAGCCAGAUCCUCAGGCCACAUCUCUCUCCUCCCACGACCUCCGCGGUCCUCCAGGACCAUAGAGAGUUGUACAGAGAUCGCCCUGCUCUAUGCUCUACUCUCCUGGGGAGCGGGGCCAGAGAGGCCGGAAGUGCUGCGAGCCCUGGGCCACGCUGGCCGUGCUGGCGGUGGGCCGCCUCGAUCCCUCUGCAGUCUUUCCCUUGAGGCUCCAAGACCAGCAGGCUCCAGAUGGACCCUGGGAAGGACAAAGAGGGGGUGCCCCAGCCCUCAGGGCCGCCAGCAAGGAAGAAAUUUGUGAUACCCCUCGACGAGGAUGAGGUCCCUCCUGGAGUGGCCAAGCCCUUAUUCCGAUCUACACAGAGCCUUCCCACUGUGGACACCUCGGCCCAGGCGGCCCCUCAGACCUACGCCGAAUAUGCCAUCUCACAGCCUCUGGAAGGGGCUGGGGCCACGUGCCCCACAGGGUCAGAGCCCCUGGCAGGAGAGACCCCCAACCAGGCCCUGAAACCCGGGGCAAAAUCCAACAGCAUCAUUGUGAGCCCUCGGCAGAGGGGCAAUCCCGUACUGAAGUUCGUGCGCAAUGUGCCCUGGGAAUUUGGCGACGUAAUUCCUGACUAUGUGCUGGGCCAGAGCACCUGUGCCCUGUUCCUCAGCCUCCGCUACCACAACCUGCACCCAGACUACAUCCACGGGCGGCUGCAGAGCCUGGGGAAGAACUUCGCCUUGCGGGUCCUGCUCGUCCAGGUGGAUGUGAAAGAUCCCCAGCAGGCCCUCAAGGAGCUGGCUAAGAUGUGUAUCCUGGCCGACUGCACAUUGAUCCUCGCCUGGAGCCCCGAGGAAGCUGGGCGGUACCUGGAGACCUACAAGGCCUAUGAGCAGAAACCAGCGGACCUCCUGAUGGAGAAGCUAGAGCAGGACUUCGUCUCCCGGGUGAGGCCACCUCACCUCCCAUCCCUGCCUGGGCCUCCCCGCAGCUCCUGGGUGGUUGAGCUUCAGUUCCAAUCUUAAGGCACUGUCCAUUCAUCCCUGGGCCUCGUCUUUCCUGGCCCAUCCCACCGAAACUGCAGCUAGAGGGGUUUUCCUGAGCACAAAUCUGCUGCUACCCUCCCUAGCUCAAAACCCUCCCAUGGCUCCCCAGUACCCCAAGAGAAAGCCCAGACUUCUCACCAGGCUCAACAAGGGCCCGUCAGGCUCAGAAGCCCCGUGGCCCCCACUUCACACUUCACUUCUCCCAGGCCUAGCUCGCUUCUCCAAGCACUUGCCCCUUCUGUUCCCUCUGCCCAAUUACCUGCCUAAUUCCUUUUUUUUUUUUUUUGAGAUGGAGUCUCACUCUCUUGCCCAGGCUGGAGUGCAAUGACAUGAUCUCGGCUCACUGCAACCUCUGCCUCCCAGGUUCAAGUGAUUCUCCUGCCUGAGCCUCCUGAGUAGCUGGGACUACAGGUGACUGAAUGUCUGACCACCGUGAAGUCAGUCAACAAAACGGACAGUCAGACCCUCCUGACCACAUUUGGAUCUCUGGAACAGCUCAUCGCCGCAUCAAGAGAAGAUCUGGCCUUAUGCCCAGGCCUGGGCCCUCAGAAGGCCCGGAGGCUGUUUGAUGUCCUGCACGAGCCCUUCUUGAAAGUACCCUGAUGACCCCAGCUGCCAAGGAAACCCCCAGUGUAAUAAUAAAGCGUCCUCCCAGGCCAGGCUC